GACAGAGGGGGCAAGCGUUGCUCGGAAUCACUGGGCGUAAAGGGCGCGUAGGCGGGAUGGCAAGUCGGUCGUGAAAUCCUUCGGCUCAACCGAAGAACGUCGGCCGAUACUGCCGUUCUUGAGGGAUGCAGAGGAGAUUGGAAUUCCCGGUGUAGCGGUGAAAUGUGUAGAGAUCGGGAGGAACACCGGUGGCGAAGGCGGCGACCUGGUCCGUGACUGACGCUGAGGCGCGAAAGCGUGGGGAGCAAACAGG
rnacentral:rRNA from 1 species